GAUGAACGCUGGCGGCGUGCUUAACACAUGCAAGUCGAACGAACCUUCGGGUUAGUGGCGGACGGGUGAGUAACGCGUGGGAAUCUGCCCUCAGGAGGGGGAUAACGGCUGGAAACGGCCGCUAAUACCCCAUAUGCCGAGAGGUGAAAUGAAUUUCGCCUGGGGAUGAGCCCGCGUCUGAUUAGCUAGUUGGUGGGGUAAAGGCCUACCAAGGCAUCGAUCAGUAGCUGGUCUGAGAGGAUGAUCAGCCACACUGGGACUGAGACACGGCCCAGACUCCUACGGGAGGCAGCAGUGGGGAAUUUUCCGCAAUGGGCGAAAGCCUGACGGAGCAACGCCGCGUGAGGGAUGAAGGCCUCUGGGCUGUAAACCUCUUUUCUCAAGGAAGAAGACCUGACGGUACUUGAGGAAUAAGCCACGGCUAAUUCCGUGCCAGCCGCCGCGGUAAU
rnacentral:rRNA from 1 species